rnacentral:tRNA from 1 species
GCCUGUUUGGCUCAGUGGAUAGAGCAUCAGCCUGUGGACUGAAGAGUCACAGGUUCAAUUCUGGUCGCGGGCA